GGGUGUGACCAUACCAGCACUAACGCACCGGAUCCCAUCUGAACUCCGAAGUUAAGCGUGCUUGGGCGAGAGUAGUACUAGGAUGGGUGACCUCGUGGGAAGUCCUCGUGUUGCACCCC
rnacentral:rRNA from 1 species